GACAGAGGAGGGCGGAAAAGAGAGACUUUGUUUGCUCUUCAAUUUGGGCUGGAGAGCGAUGUUCCCUGCACCAUAAAUUAGAUGUGUUCAUGCAUCAUCAGUCAGACAAACGCAGUCUCCGGCUUGGCGGCGGCGCAGCGCAGCCACACCACCGACAAAGAGUCUAAUUUAUGUCCAAUCACAGCGGCGGCCGAGUGGGUUGCUUCCAAAUUGUGGGAAAUUAGAGAAGCAGACGAGCAGGAGUGUGUGUCAGCAGAAAGUCACUGUGAUCAAGGUGGAAAACGCAGACUUCAGAGGAGGUUCCUUCUAUCAGGGCUCCGUCUUCAGACGCAACCCCAGCGUGAACGAGGAAACGAUCGAUGUGAACGAACACGCGUUCACGGCUCUGGGCUCCAGCUGCAGAUCAGCGGAUCUGCUCCGUAUUUCUGCUUACAGAGGACUGUUGCUCGCUCUGCUCAGCGGAUCUGACAGCGCUGAUGAAGAACUACAGCUGAAAAAGGCUCUGCUCAGUUUGCUCAAGCAGAACAACGGCAAACUCCACGACCCUCAGGAUAUUAAUUAGGAACAAGUGUCGCGCAGCUGCAGCGUGUGAUGCCUUCCACCAGUUUCUUGUACAGUAGCUGUGAAAACUGCCCGUCAGCAGUGGAAGCAGACGCCGUUGAGUUGAGUUCAGGCCGUGGAGCUCAGUCAGCACAUCGUUACGCUGCAUCUGUUCUUCUGGCUCCAAUGAUGAAUGCACAGCUCACAUUUCCACACAUGAACUGCUGUCAGGUGAGAGUGGCCGAUCGCUUUCUUUAUUUCUCAGUAACAGCGGUGAUUUGCCUCUGUCCUGUUUAAGGUGCCUGUCGUCUCAUUGAACACUGAAGGACCAUUCAUGAAGCAUCGCUGUGGAAACUGACGUGUUCUGAACUUCCUCCUGGACGUCCUUCACCCGUCUGCCUGUUCCUGACACCUGAAACCUGCUGUUUGUCCCAUCGUUAGCGCCUCCAACAGGAACGAACAACGCAGACGUGAGACCUUUGACUGACGCCUGCAGCUUCACAGACGCUGGAGCUUUUUAACGACAGGAGCGUUUCACAAACACUGUUUGGGUUUUAAUAAAGUGACCACAGAUGAUGUCAUAUGUUA